rnacentral:snRNA from 14 species
AUACUUACAUGGCGGGGGCGAUGCCAUGAGAGAAAGGGGUUUUCCCAGGGCAGGGCUCAGCCCAUUGCACUCUGGAUGUGCUGACCCCUGCGAUUUCCCUAAAGGCGGGAAACUCGACUGUACAAUGUGGGUAGUGGCGGGACUAUGUUUGUGCUCUCCCCUG